UUCGCGGAGGGUGAUGGAGUUCACCCGACGAUUGGACCGCCCCUCGCGGGGCUGAUGACUCCUACCUGGAG
rnacentral:ncRNA from 2 species